rnacentral:rRNA from 1 species
AAAGGUAAGCUACUAAGAGCGAAUGGUGGAUGCCUUGACUGGUAAAGGCGAUGAAGGACGUACUAGACUGCGAUAAGCUACGGGGAGCUGUCAAGAAGCUUUGAUCCGUAGAUU